GGCUUUAUAUUCAAUAAUGAUAUUAGAUUGCAAUUCUAAAGGAGUAAUUUUAUGUUACUGAAGCUU
rnacentral:tRNA from 1 species